ensembl:lncRNA
GUCGAGGGGACGCACACGCGUGAAUCACCGAGCUGCAUUGUUUACCGAGACGUCCCCUGCUGACCGGAAACUACGUUAAACAACAAACGCCGACGCGCUUUGAACUUGAGAAGAGAAAGGGGACCUUCAAAAGGGAGGAGAAAAUAUUAAUACAGCUACUGGAGCCUGGAGCUGUGCUGCAUGUGCCAACUCUCCAGGAACUACCUCUUCCUUUUUUUUCCAACUUCGCGCAGGCUUAUUUUUAUUUAUUUAUUUUUAUGCAUCUUCACAGCCAGUCACACCUGUCUCCCUUUUUCUUUUUUCUUUUUAACGCAAAUUUCGAUUCCAAAAAAAACAAAAACAAACUUACCUUCUAUCUGAAGGUGGGAACAGGUGCUGCGGGGCGCUGUGCGCAGUCUGCUGUCUUAAUUAAGCGUCCGCGAGAGUUUAAUGGUUAUGUACGAAGAGGGUGCCGAGCCUCCGAGUCCGAGCACCAUGCUGUGGGAACACGGGCUUGUCAAGAAAAUGCGCACAACACCGGCGACAAGGCGGAGGAGCGCAUUUUUAAUUCUGUCUGAGCAUCUGAAGUGAUACACAGUCACAGCAGAGACACACUGUGUGCCCCCCUCCCGCCUCCCUGACUCUGACACUCACUCACUCACACCAAUCCAAAUCACACCAUGCCAGGGAAAAUAUUCUGCUUGUAAAUCCACUUUUUUUUCUUUUUUUUUUUUUUGACAUAGUGGACACGAUAUUUAAUAGAGGGCGUUUCCCGUGUAAUCAUGCAGGAGCCUCACAAAACUUUAAGCCUUUUGUAAUGUUCUCAUGAGGUUGAUGGACUCCAAGAAGGAGACAGCACCAGUGCAAACUAUAAAAGACGAAAUCAUUUGUCUUUUAGGGGACACAAGGCACGUUUUUAAAUCUGUGAUAUAACCAAGAAAAUAACGUAGAAAUAUUAUAAACAGACUUUUUACUGCAGAAAGGCAGCGAAUCGUCCCACUUCUGUUCCCCUAAUGAAGCCCUUGAGUAUAUAACGCGCUGUUCAGGUGGAAGAGAAAGCGCACAAAGGUCCUGAAAAUGCUAAUUGAAACAAUUUGCAUUUUCCCACAGAGACUAAACGAUCAAAAAUAACACCGCUCUUUAUAAAACUGCGUGUGUGUGACCAUGGGAGAAGCUGUGAGAAGCGUCACAUAACCGGAACUGGACUUUGACGCACUGUGCGCUUUUUUGUGAGAGCUAUUUCUGGACUGCUGCAUCAAUCUUUUUUUCUUUUUUUUCUUCUUACAGGUGAAGGUGUGUGGUUCUGCUAAUGGCCGCCAGGUGACGCCAGAGUCCGCGCUUUAUGUCGCCGACAUGGCCAAAAAGCUCCAGAAGUUUUCUGAAACAGGUGAACAUUUGGUUCUGGUUCUUUAUGUGUGACUUUGAACAACAUUUACCUUCCUCUGUAUCUAAUGAAUGAUGUAAUAUUUUACAUAUGUGAAGCAAUAAAAUAAUAAUAAUAAUAAACAUGUUUAACUUACUAAACUGACAUUUGACAACUUGAACUGUGUUUAAACUGAAUGUAGAACUUAUAUCACAUCACUAACUAACUAUAACUGUGUCUUUAUGUGGCCAUAGGAAACUAACUGACUAUCUGGAUACCUAUAACUACCUAACUAUAAGGACUAUUACUUGAUAUGCUCAGUAUGUGGAUUGGGGGGGUGACAAAGCAUCUGGCAUGUUGCCAGAUUUUCCCUAUUGUAAUACAAUAAAGUAUUAGCCUACAUUAUUUUGACAUUGAUAAUAAA